GCACACAAGUAUUUGGUUCUUCCACCACAACUCUAGAAUUCCCGUAUGGCUGAUAGUGCGAAUUCGCAUAGGACGAAUAAUAUUGGUACGGGUAGUUCAUAUCCGUAACUGGAAAAGCAACAAUUUCAGCUGGUUUAGCCGUAUCAGGUUUAGCUGGAGCCGGUUUCGCUGGUUCAGGCUUUUUCUCAGGUGGUUUAACAACUUCAACCGAAACGAUUUCUGCAUUACACAGUUUCCUUAGCUUCAUCACGAGAACCGGUGUAUCAACUUCUCCAACUACUGUCAUUUUCCCUGUUUUGUCAUCCAUUGUUAUCGAAGUAACCCCUUGAGAUCGAGAGACGGUCACAAACGCUUUCUUCCUGAUUCUCUCAUCGUGGACACUCAAUUGCAACACAGCUUUCUGUAAUUUCAAACUUGAGAUCAGUAUGGUUAUAAUUGUAUAUUUAUGAAAUAAGUUUGACUAAAUGGUUUAUAUAUAUAACGAUCAAUCAAAGAUCAUUAAGUUAAAUAUAAUUAUUUUCAGAUAGAAAAAAUAUGAAAGAAAAGGAUACCUUAGCGGUCAUGGCUGAAGAAUACUAGAGUAAAGCUUGAGAAAUUUCCGAUAUAUUUAUCAAAGAAAGAACGAUAUGAGGUAUGGCUUGCGUCUUGCGAUGUUGAACCUUCUUGAUGACAAUUGCAAGCAAUAAGAUAUCCACUAUAUAGAAAUUGCAUAGGAAACUACCAGGAAUCUAAUACUAUGACCCACAUAGUUUUUUCUAUUUUUAAAUACAAAAAAGCAUUUGUCCAAAAAAGAUAAUAAUAAUAAUAACAAAAAAGCAUUGCGACGACCAUUAAAAGAGUAACGGAGUCAACGACGCAAGCAACUUAUAGCUAGUAUUGUUUCUCGUAUGUGGUUGAAAAGUAUAAUAAAUCCAACGACGCAACGACGAAAGCAACGGGAAAUGUGUUGACUGCUCAUUUGGUCGCUUAUACGACCUGGCCGACGUUGAUUUGUGACCUUGUUGACCUAUUUGGUCAUGUAAGAACUUGUGAAGCAAGUUCUCUAGAUUUUGUUCAAGAGAUCAGUUUUAUAACAUCCAAACGAACACUGGAUACUGGAAUCAAACUGAGAUUGACGUCACAAACACAAAUAUUCCACAAAAAAUUAAUGAUCUUGGAUUUUAAUUUGUGUUUGGUUAAUUAGAUAUUUUGCUUAUUCAUUAUGAGGAAACAUAAAUCCAGGUAAAGAAAAUCAACAUAUUGAAAUAAUUUUACAAUUACGUGGUAUGUUAUGAAAAUGCCACUGAUUUAUAACGAGAAAAUGGGUUUUUAAAUCCUCAACUAUUUGAAAUCAGCAUUUUUAAUACUCAACUAUCAUUUGUGCGAUUUAAUCUCGAAAUCAUGGUUGAAUGCGCAAAAUUAGACUUAAAAAGGUCAAACGUUAAUUUUAAGGGCAAUUCUCUUAAAUAAACUAUUUUCAAGUUUUGAUCACAAAAAUAUACUACAAGGAAGAAAAUGACAAAAAUGUUUCAUUUAAUAGGUAAAAGGACUUUAAUACCCUAGAUAUAUAAAAAAAAUAAAAAAAAUAAUAUUUUUUUUUAUAUAGUUUUAGAUUAUAUGUUUUCAAAUUCGAACUUUUUAUAAAAUUUUUUUUGAAUUUUUUUUUCAAAUUUUUUUUUGUAAUUCGAAAAUACUUUUUGAAACUAUUUUUAACAUUUUUAUUUUAAAAAUUUUAUAUUUAUUUUUUAUUUUAUCAAAUUUAAAUCUUAAUCUCAAAUCCCCACUCCUUAACUUUAAACCCUAAGGUUUGUAUUAGUUGACCCUAAGGGUAUAAGUGUAUAUUACCUCUUUAAUAUUUUGGUCAUUUUGAUCCUUAGAGUCUAUGUUUGUGACAUAAACUUUUUAUGUGAUAUCGUAGAGUAUUUCUCUAAUUUUAAAUAUAAACGUUAACUGCAAUCAGAAAAGUGAUCAAGUUUUGCUUUUAAAACCCCAAAAUCCCUAAAAUUGUUUCACUUUAUGCUACUCCGAGUGAGAGGAAGUGAUUCACGGCGACUGAGAAAUAAACAAGUGUACUUCCGGUGAGAGGAUGGUGAAAACCUACUUUGGAACUAGUGGUAGAAGUUGGGAAAUUUUAUUGAUUUGAGGACCAUCCAGAAUUUCAAUUCCGAUAGAGAGUGAAAGGUAAACGAAUAAGCUUUGUUGAAUCAUGUCCGAGUUCCAAAGUAGGUUUUUACCAUCCUCUCACUGGAAGUACAUUUGUUUAAUCUUUGGUCACCGUGAAUCGCUUCUUUGCACUUAGAAUCGCAUAAAAAUCGAUUUUAAGGAUUUUAGAGUUUUGAAAGCCAAACUCGAUCCAUUUUCUAAUUACAAUUAACGUUUUUGUCUAGUAAUUAACAUUUAACAUUUCUAAGUCUAAUUUUGUGCAGUCAACUAAUGACUUCGGGAUUAAAUAUGCAAGUGAUAGUUAAGUAUUAAAAUACUGAUUUCAAAUAGUUGGAGAUCUAAAAGUCCAUUUUCGAGAUUUAUAACUAUGACUAGAGUUUUAAUGGUAGUUUGGUCAUUUUAAUACAAUGCACCAAUGCACAUUAGAUUAUUCUACCACUAAAUGAUAUCUUUUAUUUUUUUCUAUAUUUAUGUUUUACUAUAAAAAAUAUUAGUUUAAAAAAAAUAUUUUUUAAAUAACAAACUAUUCAUAAUUAUUAUCAAAAUACUAUUAAUAAAUAUUGAUUCACUUUUUUUUGUUUUAAAAAAUGAAAAUAAAAUAUUUUUUAUAAUAUUUAAAUUAUCAAAUGGAUAAAAAAAAAUUUCAAUAUUUAGUAAUUUUACAAGAAAUUAUUAUAAUAAAUUAAAAUUUUUGAUAAAUUGAGCAUACUGUAAAGUAAAAUCCUAUAGUUUUACCUUAAACAAACGCUGCUAUCACCAAAAAAAAACUGGCCUACACAUAAACAGAAAUAAAGUUAAAUAUUUAAAUUUUAGUAAGUUAAAUUUGGAUUUUAGUAAGUUAAAUUUGAGUUUCUUUCUAUAGUUAUUUUCUUCUAGUUUUUUUUUGUCGAAGUUUCAUUCAUAUAAUGAUGCAAGUCAAAUGAUUUGGGAGGUAACCAACAUGAAAAACAGAGUAAACAAAGUAUCAUGAAGACAGGUCUGGCCCAGACCAAUUAUGGGGUCGAAGAAAAAGAAGAAAAUAAUUGAGCUUAUUACAGCCUUGUUCGUUUCUCUAUUAAGACGCUGCAUCUGGAUAUUAGCAUUGUUGUCCAUUUAGACACUAUGUCACUAUAAUGCAGAAUUCAAAUGUAGCAUAUAUAAUAUCUUGCACAGGUUUUAGAGCUUCAUUGACUUUGAUCGGCGACCAUCACAAACCCGCUUUGGUAAAGUAUCGAGCUUCAUUGAAAGUUGAGGAUGCAGCGGUGAUGAGGACAUGGAGUUUUGGGUCUCCCAACCCAAUUAACCAGACAAGCCAGCGACGCGGAUGUCGGCUCCGGGAUUAUGACUAGAGACUCGUCCGUGUAUCUUUCUCCUGUGUUGAGUCCGGAGAGGCGAAGUAACCCGUAUGUGUAUCAUUUGAAAAUGUAGUAGAGUAGUUUUAGUCGUAUGGAUUUUAUUCAAUUCAUCGUUGGUAGUCUAAAGUUUUUUUUUUUGUAAAUUUUUUUUUUUAAGUUAACAUAGUGUUAAAGCUCCACUUUAUCACACAUAUAAAUGAUUUGUUUCCCUUGAAUGAGCUCACGCGAGUAAUGUACAUUACAAAAUACCACAAAAAAAAAAAACACUCCCAUCAAACCUAAGUAUUACACAACUAACAUUACUUAAAAUAAUUCUAGCUAGUUAAAUCACAUAAGCACACAAGUAUUUGGUUCUUCCACCACAACUCUAGAAUUCCCGUAUGGCUGAUAGUGCGAAUUCGCAUAGGACGAAUAAUAUUGGUACGGGUAGUUCAUAUCCGUAACUGGAAAAGCAACAAUUUCAGCUGGUUUAGCCGUAUCAGGUUUAGCUGGAGCCGGUUUCGCUGGUUCAGGCUUUUUCUCAGGUGGUUUAACAACUUCAACCGAAACGAUUUCUGCAUUACACAGUUUCCUUAGCUUCAUCACGAGAACCGGUGUAUCAACUUCUCCAACUACUGUCAUUUUCCCUGUUUUGUCAUCCAUUGUUAUCGAAGUAACCCCUUGAGAUCGAGAGA
rnacentral:lncRNA from 1 species